rnacentral:rRNA from 1 species
UUGAACGCUGGCGGCAGGCCUAACACAUGCAAGUCGAACGGUAACAGGAAGAAGCUUGCUUCUUUGCUGACGAGUGGCGGACGGGUGAGUAAUGUCUGGGAAACUGCCUGAUGGAGGGGGAUAACUACUGGAAACGGUAGCUAAUACCGCAUAACGUCGCAAGACCAAAGAGGGGGACCUUCGGGCCUCUUGCCAUCGGAUGUGCCCAGAUGGGAUUAGCUAGUAGGUGGGGUAACGGCUCACCUAGGCGACGAUCCCUAGCUGGUCUGAGAGGAUGACCAGCCACACUGGAACUGAGACACGGUCCAGACUCCUACGGGAGGCAGCAGUGGGGAAUAUUGCACAAUGGGCGCAAGCCUGAUGCAGCCAUGCCGCGUGUAUGAAGAAGGCCUUAGGGUUGUAAAGUACUUUCAGCGGGGAGGAAGGGAGUAAAGUUAAUACCUUUGCUCAUUGACGUUACCCGCAGAAGAAGCACCGGCUAACUCCGUGCCAGCAGCCGCGGUAAUACGGAGGGUGCAAGCGUUAAUCGGAAUUACUGGGCGUAAAGCGCACGCAGGCGGUUUGUUAAGUCAGAUGUGAAAUCCCCGGGCUCAACCUGGGAACUGCAUCUGAUACUGGCAAGCUUGAGUCUCGUAGAGGGGGGUAGAAUUCCAGGUGUAGCGGUGAAAUGCGUAGAGAUCUGGAGGAAUACCGGUGGCGAAGGCGGCCCCCUGGACGAAGACUGACGCUCAGGUGCGAAAGCGUGGGGAGCAAACAGGAUUAGAUACCCUGGUAGUCCACGCCGUAAACGAUGUCGACUUGGAGGUUGUGCCCUUGAGGCGUGGCUUCCGGAGCUAACGCGUUAAGUCGACCGCCUGGGGAGUACGGCCGCAAGGUUAAAACUCAAAUGAAUUGACGGGGGCCCGCACAAGCGGUGGAGCAUGUGGUUUAAUUCGAUGCAACGCGAAGAACCUUACCUGGUCUUGACAUCCACAGAACUUUCCAGAGAUGGAUUGGUGCCUUCGGGAACUGUGAGACAGGUGCUGCAUGGCUGUCGUCAGCUCGUGUUGUGAAAUGUUGGGUUAAGUCCCGCAACGAGCGCAACCCUUAUCCUUUGUUGCCAGCGGUCCGGCCGGGAACUCAAAGGAGACUGCCAGUGAUAAACUGGAGGAAGGUGGGGAUGACGUUAAGUCAUCAUGGCCCUUACGACCAGGGCUACACACGUGCUACAAUGGCGCAUACAAAGAGAAGCGACCUCGCGAGAGCAAGCGGACCUCAUAAAGUGCGUCGUAGUCCGGAUUGGAGUCUGCAACUCGACUCCAUGAAGUCGGAAUCGCUAGUAAUCGUGGAUCAGAAUGCCACGGUGAAUACGUUCCCGGGCCUUGUACACACCGCCCGUCACACCAUGGGAGUGGGUUGCAAAAGAAGUAGGUAGCUUAACCUUCGGGAGGGCGCUUACCACUUUGUGAUUCAUGACUGGGGUG